GAGUUUGAUCCUGGGCUCAGGACGAACGCUGGCGGCGUGCUUAACACAUGCAAGUCGAACGAUGAUGCCCAGCUUGCUGGGCGGAUUAGUGGCGAACGGGUGAGUAAUACGUGAGUAACCUGCCCUUGACUCUGGGAUAAGCCUGGGAAACUGGGUCUAAUACUGGAUACUACCUCUUACCGCAUGGUGGGUGGUGGAAAGGGUUUUACUGGUUUUGGAUGGGCUCACGGCCUAUCAGCUUGUUGGUGGGGUAAUGGCUCACCAAGGCGACGACGGGUAGCCGGCCUGAGAGGGUGACCGGCCACACUGGGACUGAGACACGGCCCAGACUCCUACGGGAGGCAGCAGUGGGGAAUAUUGCACAAUGGGCGGAAGCCUGAUGCAGCGACGCCGCGUGAGGGAUGACGGCCUUCGGGUUGUAAACCUCUUUCAGUAGGGAAGAAGCGAGAGUGACGGUACCUGCAGAAGAAGCGCCGGCUAACUACGUGCCAGCAGCCGCGGUAAUACGUAGGGCGCAAGCGUUGUCCGGAAUUAUUGGGCGUAAAGAGCUCGUAGGCGGUUUGUCGCGUCUGCUGUGAAAGCCCGGGGCUCAACCCCGGGUCUGCAGUGGGUACGGGCAGACUAGAGUGCAGUAGGGGAGACUGGAAUUCCUGCCGUAGCGGUGAAAUGCGCAGAUAUCAGGAGGAACACCGAUGGCGAAGGCAAGUCUCUGGGCUGUUACUGACGCUGAGGAGCGAAAGCAUGGGGAGCGAACAGGAUUAGAUACCCUGGUAGUCCAUGCCGUAAACGUUGGGCACUAGGUGUGGGGGACAUUCCACGUUUUCCGCGCCGUAGCUAACGCAUUAAGUGCCCCGCCUGGGGAGUACGGCCGCAAGGCUAAAACUCAAAGGAAUUGACGGGGGCCCGCACAAGCGGCGGAGCAUGCGGAUUAAUUCGAUGCAACGCGAAGAACCUUACCAAGGCUUGACAUUCACCGGACCGCCCCAGAGAUGGGGUUUCCCUUCGGGGCUGGUGGACAGGUGGUGCAUGGUUGUCGUCAGCUCGUGUCGUGAGAUGUUGGGUUAAGUCCCGCAACGAGCGCAACCCUCGUUCUAUGUUGCCAGCACGUGAUGGUGGGGACUCAUAGGAGACUGCCGGGGUCAACUCGGAGGAAGGUGGGGAUGACGUCAAAUCAUCAUGCCCCUUAUGUCUUGGGCUUCACGCAUGCUACAAUGGCCGGUACAAAGGGUUGCGAUACUGUGAGGUGGAGCUAAUCCCAAAAAGCCGGUCUCAGUUCGGAUUGAGGUCUGCAACUCGACCUCAUGAAGUCGGAGUCGCUAGUAAUCGCAGAUCAGCAACGCUGCGGUGAAUGCGUUCCCGGGCCUUGUACACACCGCCCGUC
rnacentral:rRNA from 1 species